ensembl:processed_transcript
CUCUCCUCCAGGGAAAGGAGCGAGAGGGAAGGAAAAGGAAAACGGCGACCUCGGUUACGUGCACAUAAUCCACUUACCUUUUAAAAGGUGUUUUUGUUUCUUUGCGGUUAGACGGCGGCGUUUUUCUUUCGCAUAGUUUUAACGCAGCCAGUUGAACGUUUUCCCCUGCUCGCUGACUUGAUUUUCUGUCAGAAAGAAUGCCAGGGGCUUUAGGGAGCGAGAGAUCCGGAGUGACUGCAGUUCAGAUAACCGAACGCCUGAGGACCUGUGAUAAAGGGGAAGUUUCAUGUCAAGGCCAGAUGUCCAGCGCUAGCGUUAGGUAAUGACGCAAUGUGGCCUUGAAAACGAGAGCUCCCAGACCUCUCACCGCUGAGAGUCCUCCAAAGCUCGAAGGCAGAAUCCCUGAGGUUUCUCAUCACAACACGCCAGCCCACCCAGAUAUUACCCACAGGAAAACAAAAUAAUGCAUGUGGAUGAAAUGCUGUGGAUGGAGCACCGAAAAAAAAAAAUGUGGAUAUGGCACAUGGUUAUGCAACCUGAAGGUAUCGAGUUCCUUGUUCAGCAAAAUCCAAUCAAGCCAAGCAAAUUGCAAGGGAUAUGUGUUAAAUCACUUUCCUUGAAUCAACCAAAAACGUGUUUGCUUCCAAAUACCGCAGAUAUGUUUGUGUUCCUUCUGUCUGCUCGGUUAAACACUUCUUGACAUGUUUGAUUCCGAUACCAUAUUUUGGAUACCGAAAUGGGCGAACAGACAGGUGGGAUCAGGGUUUCUCCGAACUAGCACAUUUUAUACAUUAUCUCUUGAUGACGCUAACUUAAUUUCAUCCAGCGGGUGAAAAGUGUGUCGUCAUUGGCAAAAUCAUACAGACAGCAAAAUUUCUUCCAUACAGAUUUCUUAAUUCAGUUCAUGUGAGGUUGUUUAU